AUUGAACGCUGGCGGCAGGCCUAACACAUGCAAGUCGAACGAGUGGCGGACGGGUGAGUAAUGUCUGGGAAACUUCCUGAUGGAGGUGGAUAACUACUGGAAACGGUAGCUAAUAACGAAUACAAUCGGAUGUGCCCAGAUGGGAUUAGCUAGUAGGUGGGGUAAAGGCUCACCUAGGCGACGAUACCUAGCUGGUCUGAGAGGAUGACCAGCCACACGUGAACUGAGACACGGUCCAGACUCCUACGGGAGGCAGCAGUGGGGAAUAUUGCACAAUGGGCGCAAGCCUGAUGCAGCCAUGCCGCGUGUAUGAAGAAGGCCUUCGGGUUGUAAAGUACUUUCAGCGGGGAGGCGUUACCCGCAGAAGAAGCACCGGCUAACUCCGUGCCAGCAGCCGCGGUAAUUC
rnacentral:rRNA from 1 species